ACGGGAGGCAGCAGUGGGGAAUAUUGCACAAUGGGCGCAAGCCUGAUGCAGCGAUGCCGCGUGAGGGAAGAAGGUUUUCGGAUUGUAAACCUCUGUCAACAGGGACGAAAAUGACGGUACCUGUGAAGGAAGCUCCGGCUAACUACGUGCCAGCAGCCGCGGUAAUACGUAGGGGGCAAGCGUUAUCCGGAUUUACUGGGUGUAAAGGGAGCGUAGACGGCUUAGCAAGUCUGAUGUGAAAGGCAGGGGCUCAACUCCUGGACUGCAUUGGAAACUGUUAAGCUAGAGUGCCGGAGAGGUAAGCGGAAUUCCUAGUGUAGCGGUGAAAUGCGUAGAUAUUAGGAGGAACACCAGUGGCGAAGGCGGCUUACUGGACGGUAACUGACGUUGAGGCUCGAAAGCGUGGGGAGCAAACAGGAUUAGAUACCCUGGUA
rnacentral:rRNA from 1 species